rnacentral:rRNA from 1 species
GGGAUUGCCCUAGUAACGGCGAGUGAAGCGGCAACAGCUCAAAUUUGAAAUCUGGCCUCACGGUCCGAAUUGUAAUUUGUAGAGGAUGUUUCUGGCGACGUGUCUUCCGAGUUCCCUGGAACGGGACGCCAUAGAGGGUGAGAGCCCCGUCCGGUCGUACACCUAGCCUCUGUGAAACUCCUUCGACGAGUCGAGUAGUUUGGGAAUGCUGCUCUAAAUGGGAGGUAUACGUCUUCUAAAGCUAAAUACCGGCCAGAGACCGAUAGCGCACAAGUAGAGUGAUCGAAAGAUGAAAAGCACUUUGAAAAGAGGGUUAAAUAGUACGUGAAAUUGCUGAAAGGGAAGCGCUUAUGACCAGACUUGGGCUCGGUGAAUCAUCCGGCGUUCUCGCCGGUGCACUUUGCCGUCCCAGGCCAGCAUCAGUUCGCGCCGGGGGAUAAAGGUUUCGGGAAUGUAGCUCCCUCGGGAGUGUUAUAGCCCGUUGCGUAAUACCCUGGCGUGGACUGAGGUCCGCGCUCUGCAAGGAUGCUGGCGUAAUGGUCAUCAGUGACCCGUCUUGAAACACGGACCAAGGAGUCGUCUUCGUAUGCGAGUGUUCGGGUGUCAAACCCCUACGCGUAAUGAAAGUGAACGUAGGAGAGAGCUUCGGCGCAUCUCCGACCGAUCCUGAUGUUCUCGGAUGGAUUUGAGUAAGAGCAUACGGGGCCGGACCCGAAAGAAGGUGAACUAUGCCUGUAUAGGGUGAAGCCAGAGGAAACUCUGGUGGAGGCUCGCAGCGGUUCUGACGUGCAAAUCGAUCGUCAAAUAUGGGCAUGGGGGCGAAAGACUAAUCGAACCUUCUAGUAGCUGGUUUCCGCCGAAGUUUCCCUCAGGAUAGCAGUGUUGAACUCAGUUUUAUGAGGUAAAGCGAAUGAUUAGGGACCCGGGGGCGCUUUUUAGCCUUCAUCCAUUCUCAAACUUUAAAUAUGUAAGAAGCCCUUGUUGCUUAGUUGAACGUGGGCAUUCGAAUGUAUCAACACUAAUGGGCCAUUUUUGGUAAGCAAAACUGGCCGAUGCGGGAUGAACCGAACCCGAGGUUAAGGUGCCAGAGUAAACGCUCAUC